GAUGAACGCUGGCGGCGUGCCUAACACAUGCAAGUCGAGCGAUCCCUUCGGGGAGAGCGGCGGACGGGUGAGUAACGCGUGGGUAACCUGCCCUGUACACACGGAUAACAUACCGAAAGGUACGCUAAUACGGGAUAAUAUAUGAGAGUUGCAUAGCUUUCAUAUCAAAGCUUUUGCGGUACAGGAUGGACCCGCGUCUGAUUAGCUAGUUGGUAAGGUAACGGCUUACCAAGGCGACGAUCAGUAGCCGACCUGAGAGGGUGAUCGGCCACAUUGGAACUGAGACACGGUCCAAACUCCUACGGGAGGCAGCAGUGGGGAAUAUUGCACAAUGGGCGAAAGCCUGAUGCAGCAACGCCGCGUGAGCGAUGAAGGCCUUCGGGUCGUAAAGCUCUGUCCUCAAGGAAGAUAAUGACGGUACUUGAGGAGGAAGCCCCGGCUAACUACGUGCCAGCCGCCGCCGUAACAC
rnacentral:rRNA from 1 species